rnacentral:rRNA from 1 species
CCUACGGGAGGCUGCAGUGGGGAAUAUUGGACAAUGGGCGAAAGCCUGAUCCAGCCAUGCCGCGUGUGUGAAGAAGGCCUUCGGGUUGUAAAGCACUUUCAGUGGGGAAGAAAGCCUUGGGGCUAAUACCCUCGAGGAAGGACAUCACCCACAGAAGAAGCACCGGCUAACUCCGUGCCAGCAGCCGCGGUAAUACGGAGGGUGCGAGCGUUAAUCGGAAUUACUGGGCGUAAAGCGCGCGUAGGCGGUCUGAUAAGCCGGUUGUGAAAGCCCCGGGCUCAACCUGGGAACGGCAUCCGGAACUGUCAGGCUAGAGUGCAGGAGAGGAAGGUAGAAUUCCCGGUGUAGCGGUGAAAUGCGUAGAGAUCGGGAGGAAUACCAGUGGCGAAAGCGGCCUUCUGGACUGACACUGACGCUGAGGUGCGAAAGCGUGGGUAGCAAACAGGAUUAGAUACCCCGGUAGUC